rnacentral:rRNA from 1 species
ACGGCAGCAUAGAGAGCUUGCUCUCUGAUGGCGAGUGGCGAACGGGUGAGUAAUACAUCGGAACGUGUCCGUUUGUGGGGGACAACCACCCGAAAGGGUGGCUAAUACCGCAUAAGACCUGAGGGUGAAAGCCGGGGACCGCAAGGCCUGGCGCGAACGGAGCGGCCGAUGACUGAUUAGCUGGUUGGCGGGGUAAAGGCCCACCAAGGCGACGAUCAGUAGCUGGUCUGAGAGGACGACCAGCCACACUGGAACUGAGACACGGUCCAGACUCCUACGGGAGGCAGCAGUGGGGAAUUUUGGACAAUGGGGGCAACCCUGAUCCAGCCAUGCCGCGUGCGGGAAGAAGGCCUUCGGGUUGUAAACCGCUUUUGUCAGGGACGAAAAGGUGCGGGUUAAGAGCUAGCACUGAUGACGGUACCUGAAGAAUAAGCACCGGCUAACUACGUGCCAGCAGCCGCGGUAGUACGUAGGGUGCGAGCGUUAAUCGGAAUUACUGGGCGUAAAGCGUGCGCAGGCGGUUGGGUAAGACAGAUGUGAAAUCCCCGGGCUUAACCUGGGAACUGCAUUUGUGACUGUCCGACUGGAGUAUGUCAGAGGGGGGUGGAAUUCCAAGUGUAGCAGUGAAAUGCGUAGAUAUUUGGAAGAACACCGAUGGCGAAGGCAGCCCCCUGGGGCAAAACUGACGCUCAUGCACGAAAGCGUGGGGAGCAAACAGGAUUAGAUACCC